GGGUUGUGAGGUUAAGCGACUAAGCGUACACGGUGGAUGCCCUGGCAGUCAGAGGCGAUGAAGGACGUGCUAAUCUGCGAUAAGCGUCGGUAAGGUGAUAUGAACCGUUAUAACCGGCGAUUUCCGAAUGGGGAAACCCAGUGUGAUUCGUCACACUAUCAUUAACUGAAUCCAUAGGUUAAUGAGGCGAACCGGGGGAACUGAAACAUCUAAGUACCCCGAGGAAAAGAAAUCAACCGAGAUUCCCCCAGUAGCGGCGAGCGAACGGGGAGCAGCCCAGAGCCUGAAUCAGUGUGUGUGUUAGUGGAAGCGUCUGGAAAGGCGCGCGAUACAGGGUGACAGCCCCGUACACAAAAAUGCACAUGCUGUGAGCUCGAUGAGUAGGGCGGGACACGUGGUAUCCUGUCUGAAUAUGGGGGACCAUCCUCCAAGGCUAAAUACUCCUGACUGACCGAUAGUGAACCAGUACCGUGAGGGAAAGGCGAAAAGAACCCCGGCGAGGGGAGUGAAAAAGAACCUGAAACCGUGUACGUACAAGCAGUGGGAGCCUCUUUAUGGGGUGACUGCGUACCUUUUGUAUAAUGGGUCAGCGACUUAUAUUCUGUAGCAAGGUUAACCGAAUAGGGGAGCCGAAGGGAAACCGAGUCUUAACUGGGCGUUAAGUUGCAGGGUAUAGACCCGAAACCCGGUGAUCUAGCCAUGGGCAGGUUGAAGGUUGGGUAACACUAACUGGAGGACCGAACCGACUAAUGUUGAAAAAUUAGCGGAUGACUUGUGGCUGGGGGUGAAAGGCCAAUCAAACCGGGAGAUAGCUGGUUCUCCCCGAAAGCUAUUUAGGUAGCGCCUCGUGAAUUCAUCUCCGGGGGUAGAGCACUGUUUCGGCAAGGGGGUCAUCCCGACUUACCAACCCGAUGCAAACUGCGAAUACCGGAGAAUGUUAUCACGGGAGACACACGGCGGGUGCUAACGUCCGUCGUGAAGAGGGAAACAACCCAGACCGCCAGCUAAGGUCCCAAAGUCAUGGUUAAGUGGGAAACGAUGUGGGAAGGCCCAGACAGCCGGGAUGUUGGCUUAGAAGCAGCCAUCAUUUAAAGAAAGCGUAAUAGCUCACUGGUCGAGUCGGCCUGCGCGGAAGAUGUAACGGGGCUAAACCAUGCACCGAAGCUGCGGCAGCGACACUAUGUGUUGUUGGGUAGGGGAGCGUUCUGUAAGCCUGUGAAGGUGUACUGUGAGGUAUGCUGGAGGUAUCAGAAGUGCGAAUGCUGACAUAAGUAACGAUAAAGCGGGUGAAAAGCCCGCUCGCCGGAAGACCAAGGGUUCCUGUCCAACGUUAAUCGGGGCAGGGUGAGUCGACCCCUAAGGCGAGGCCGAAAGGCGUAGUCGAUGGGAAACAGGUUAAUAUUCCUGUACUUGGUGUUACUGCGAAGGGGGGACGGAGAAGGCUAUGUUGGCCGGGCGACGGUUGUCCCGGUUUAAGCGUGUAGGCUGAUUUUCCGGUAAAUCCGGAAAAUCAAGGCUGAGGCGUGAUGACGAGGCACUACGGUGCUGAAGCAACAAAUGCCCUGCUUCCGGAAAAGCCUCUAAGCAUCAGGUAACAUCAAAUCGUACCCCAAACCGACACAGGUGGUCAGGUAGAGAAUACCAAGGCGCUUGAGAGAACUCGGGUGAAGGAACUAGGCAAAAUGGUGCCGUAACUUCGGGAGAAGGCACGCUGAUACGUAGGUGAAGUCCCUUGCGGAUGGAGCUGAAAUCAGUCGAAGAUACCAGCUGGCUGCAACUGUUUAUUAAAAACACAGCACUGUGCAAACACGAAAGUGGACGUAUACGGUGUGACGCCUGCCCGGUGCCGGAAGGUUAAUUGAUGGGGUUAGCGGUAACGCGAAGCUCUUGAUCGAAGCCCCGGUAAACGGCGGCCGUAACUAUAACGGUCCUAAGGUAGCGAAAUUCCUUGUCGGGUAAGUUCCGACCUGCACGAAUGGCGUAAUGAUGGCCGGGCUGUCUCCACCCGAGACUCAGUGAAAUUGAACUCGCUGUGAAGAUGCAGUGUACCCGCGGCAAGACGGAAAGACCCCGUGAACCUUUACUAUAGCUUGACACUGAACAUUGAGCCUUGAUGUGUAGGAUAGGUGGGAGGCUUUGAAGUGUGGACGCCAGUCUGCAUGGAGCCGACCUUGAAAUACCACCCUUUAAUGUUUGAUGUUCUAACGUUGGCCCCUGAUCGGGGUUGCGGACAGUGUCUGGUGGGUAGUUUGACUGGGGCGGUCUCCUCCUAAAGAGUAACGGAGGAGCACGAAGGUUGGCUAAUCCUGGUCGGACAUCAGGAGGUUAGUGCAAUGGCAUAAGCCAGCUUGACUGCGAGCGUGACGGCGCGAGCAGGUGCGAAAGCAGGUCAUAGUGAUCCGGUGGUUCUGAAUGGAAGGGCCAUCGCUCAACGGAUAAAAGGUACUCCGGGGAUAACAGGCUGAUACCGCCCAAGAGUUCAUAUCGACGGCGGUGUUUGGCACCUCGAUGUCGGCUCAUCACAUCCUGGGGCUGAAGUAGGUCCCAAGGGUAUGGCUGUUCGCCAUUUAAAGUGGUACGCGAGCUGGGUUUAGAACGUCGUGAGACAGUUCGGUCCCUAUCUGCCGUGGGCGCUGGAGAACUGAGGGGGCUGCUCCUAGUACGAGAGGACCGGAGUGGACGCAUCACUGGUGUUCGGGUUGUCAUGCCAAUGGCACUGCCCGGUAGCUAAAUGCGGAAGAGAUAAGUGCUGAAAGCAUCUAAGCACGAAACUUGCCCCGAGAUGAGUUCUCCCUGACUCCCUGAGAGUCCUGAAGGAACGUUGAAGACGACGACGUUGAUAGGCCGGGUGUGUAAGCGCAGCGAUGCGUUGAGCUAACCGGUACUAAUGAACCGUGAGGCUUAACCUUACAACGCCGAAG
rnacentral:rRNA from 1 species